rnacentral:lncRNA from 1 species
CUCAUCAUGACACAGGUGUUGACUUACACUUUUGAUCUAAUUGAGGACAAAGGAGGGCUUGUUUUGUGUGUCUAGAGUAUAUGUGUGUGUGUGUGCCCAUGUGUCUUUUCAUGUUUAUGUGUGAGCAUGUGUGUGCGUGCACGCAUAUUAAGUCAGAGGUCAACUUUGAGUGUCGUCUUCUCUCUCUUCCUAUUCUUUAUGGAGUUGGGAUUUCUCACUGAACCUGGAACUCAUCAGUUCAGCUGGACUGGCUAAGCAAUGAACCAGAUAUCAUUGUGUCUCUGACUCACCGGCACUGAGAUUCCAGUAAUGCACCUUCAUGAAUGGCUUUUAGUAAUGUUUAAAAUGGAAGUUUAUGCAUACUGCUGCAUUUCCCAGAACUUCACCCCUUUAAAUGGCCCUGAGAGCAGAGUUGGUGAUGAGGAUAGAGCAGAACAUCUGGCUCAGAGUCACCACUGGCAGCCCUUAGUGACCAGUGGAUUUUCACUUAUGGAAAUAGAUCCUCUUCAUUUCUGCCUGAGAAGACACAGUGAAUGGUAACAUGAUGACGUUUCACACAGACCAGGAACAGGGAACUUGAAAGUUUAGUCCGAUGUCACAAUGUCUGAGGAAAGAAAAAUAUGCCUUGAGGGUUCCACACCACUAAAUGUGGCCAUAAGGUAGUAUUGUGUCAACUUAACACAAGCUAUAGUCAUCAGAGGAAGGAGCCUCAGCUGAGAAAAUGCCUCCUGGAGACCCAGCUGGGGAUUGGAUUUAGUGACCAUGGAGAAGUCAAACACAUGGACUCAUGGACUCUUGGCCUCCCAUCUCAGUGUCAACUGAGUCUUCUUUGAACCUGCCAAGGUUUUUCCCCCCUUCAUGAGAAUGAAGACAAAAACAAAAACAGAGGGGAUGGGAGAUGCCUUGCUCUGUUGAGCAACAGGAAGUCGUGUGAAAACCUGUUUGCUCUCUCUGCUGUGAAGAAGAUUGCUGAAGAGACACAACCCUGCACUCUGCUAUGUAAACCACCUACAGAAGUGGCAGGGGUCAUCGUGGGAAAAGAAGGAGUGCCUUGGACCCAAAGUGACAAGAGUCAAUGCAUUCAGUCAUCUCUAGAUGAAAGGGAAACCAUUGAGCACUCAGUUAUAUCAGGGGUUUUGAUAUUUUCUUCCUGUUUUUGUCCCCCUCCUCUCUCUCUCUCU